GACGAACGCUGGCGGCGUGCUUAACACAUGCAAGUCGAACGGAAAGGCCCUGCUUUUGUGGGGUGCUCGAGUGGCGAACGGGUGAGUAACACGUGAGUAACCUGCCCUUGACUUUGGGAUAACUUCAGGAAACUGGGGCUAAUACCGGAUAGGAGCUCCUGCUGCAUGGUGGGGGUUGGAAAGUUUCGGCGGUUGGGGAUGGACUCGCGGCUUAUCAGCUUGUUGGUGGGGUAGUGGCUUACCAAGGCUUUGACGGGUAGCCGGCCUGAGAGGGUGACCGGCCACAUGGGGACUGAGGUACGGCCCAGACGCCUACGGGAGGCAGCAGUGGGGAAUAUGACACAAUGGGCGGAAGCGUGAUGCAGCAACGCCGCGUGCGGGAUGACGGCCUUCGGGUUGUAAACCGCUGUCGCCGGUGACGAAGCGUGAGUGACGGUAAUGGGUAAAGAAGCACCGGCUAACUACGUG
rnacentral:rRNA from 1 species